GGGUUGUGAGGUUAAGCGACUAAGCGUACACGGUGGAUGCCCUGGCAGUCAGAGGCGAUGAAGGACGUGCUAAUCUGCGAUAAGCGCCGGUAAGGUGAUAUGAACCGUUAUAACCGGCGAUUUCCGAAUGGGGAAACCCAGUGUGAUUCGUCACACUAUCAUUAACUGAAUCCAUAGGUUAAUGAGGCGAACCGGGGGAACUGAAACAUCUAAGUACCCCGAGGAAAAGAAAUCAACCGAGAUUCCCCCAGUAGCGGCGAGCGAACGGGGAGGAGCCCAGAGCCUGAAUCAGCAUGUGUGUUAGUGGAAGCGUCUGGAAAGGUGCGCGAUACAGGGUGACAGCCCCGUACACAAAAGCGCAUGUGCUGUGAGCUCGAUGAGUAGGGCGGGACACGUGGUAUCCUGUCUGAAUAUGGGGGGACCAUCCUCCAAGGCUAAAUACUCCUGACUGACCGAUAGUGAACCAGUACCGUGAGGGAAAGGCGAAAAGAACCCCGGCGAGGGGAGUGAAAAAGAACCUGAAACCGUGUACGUACAAGCAGUGGGAGCACAGGUUUACCUGUGUGACUGCGUACCUUUUGUAUAAUGGGUCAGCGACUUAUAUUCUGUAGCAAGGUUAACCGUAUAGGGGAGCCGUAGGGAAACCGAGUCUUAACCGGGCGUUAAGUUGCAGGGUAUAGACCCGAAACCCGGUGAUCUAGCCAUGGGCAGGUUGAAGGUUGGGUAACACUAACUGGAGGACCGAACCGACUAAUGUUGAAAAAUUAGCGGAUGACCUGUGGCUGGGGGUGAAAGGCCAAUCAAACCGGGAGAUAGCUGGUUCUCCCCGAAAGCUAUUUAGGUAGCGCCUCGUGAAUUCAUCUCCGGGGGUAGAGCACUGUUUCGGCUAGGGGGCCAUCCCGGCUUACCAACCCGAUGCAAACUGCGAAUACCGGAGAAUGUUAUCACGGGAGACACACGGCGGGUGCUAACGUCCGUCGUGAAGAGGGAAACAACCCAGACCGCCAGCUAAGGUCCCAAAGUCAUGGUUAAGUGGGAAACGAUGUGGGAAGGCCCAGACAGCCAGGAUGUUGGCUUAGAAGCAGCCAUCAUUUAAAGAAAGCGUAAUAGCUCACUGGUCGAGUCGGCCUGCGCGGAAGAUGUAACGGGGCUAAACCAUGCACCGAAGCUGCGGCAGCGAACGUAUCACCCAAGACAACUUUACGGAGUUGACGAUUGACGGAGCGAAGCGACGUCAAAGCGUUCAUUAAAGUCGAGUUGGCUUAGGGAUACGUUCGUUGGGUAGGGGAGCGUUCUGUAAGCCUGUGAAGGUGUGUCGUGAGGCAUGCUGGAGGUAUCAGAAGUGCGAAUGCUGACAUAAGUAACGAUAAAGCGGGUGAAAAGCCCGCUCGCCGGAAGACCAAGGGUUCCUGUCCAACGUUAAUCGGGGCAGGGUGAGUCGACCCCUAAGGCGAGGCCGAAAGGCGUAGUCGAUGGGAAACGGGUUAAUAUUCCCGUACUUGGUGUUACUGCGAAGGGGGGACGGAGAAGGCUAUGUUGGCCGGGCGACGGUUGUCCCGGUUUAAGCGUGUAGGUGUGUGUUCCAGGUAAAUCCGGUUCACUUUAACACUGAGGCGUGACGACGAGGCACUACGGUGCUGAAGCAACAAAUGCCCUGCUUCCAGGAAAAGCCUCUAAGCAUCAGGUAACAUCAAAUCGUACCCCAAACCGACACAGGUGGUCAGGUAGAGAAUACCAAGGCGCUUGAGAGAACUCGGGUGAAGGAACUAGGCAAAAUGGUGCCGUAACUUCGGGAGAAGGCACGCUGACACGUAGGUGAAGUGAUUUACUCAUGGAGCUGAAGUCAGUCGAAGAUACCAGCUGGCUGCAACUGUUUAUUAAAAACACAGCACUGUGCAAACACGAAAGUGGACGUAUACGGUGUGACGCCUGCCCGGUGCCGGAAGGUUAAUUGAUGGGGUCAGCGCAAGCGAAGCUCCUGAUCGAAGCCCCGGUAAACGGCGGCCGUAACUAUAACGGUCCUAAGGUAGCGAAAUUCCUUGUCGGGUAAGUUCCGACCUGCACGAAUGGCGUAAUGAUGGCCAGGCUGUCUCCACCCGAGACUCAGUGAAAUUGAACUCGCUGUGAAGAUGCAGUGUACCCGCGGCAAGACGGAAAGACCCCGUGAACCUUUACUAUAGCUUGACACUGAACAUUGAGCCUUGAUGUGUAGGAUAGGUGGGAGGCUUUGAAGUGUGGACGCCAGUCUGCAUGGAGCCGACCUUGAAAUACCACCCUUUAAUGUUUGAUGUUCUAACGUGGACCCGUAAUCCGGGUUGCGGACAGUGUCUGGUGGGUAGUUUGACUGGGGCGGUCUCCUCCUAAAGAGUAACGGAGGAGCACGAAGGUUGGCUAAUCCUGGUCGGACAUCAGGAGGUUAGUGCAAUGGCAUAAGCCAGCUUGACUGCGAGCGUGACGGCGCGAGCAGGUGCGAAAGCAGGUCAUAGUGAUCCGGUGGUUCUGAAUGGAAGGGCCAUCGCUCAACGGAUAAAAGGUACUCCGGGGAUAACAGGCUGAUACCGCCCAAGAGUUCAUAUCGACGGCGGUGUUUGGCACCUCGAUGUCGGCUCAUCACAUCCUGGGGCUGAAGUAGGUCCCAAGGGUAUGGCUGUUCGCCAUUUAAAGUGGUACGCGAGCUGGGUUUAGAACGUCGUGAGACAGUUCGGUCCCUAUCUGCCGUGGGCGCUGGAGAACUGAGGGGGGCUGCUCCUAGUACGAGAGGACCGGAGUGGACGCAUCACUGGUGUUCGGGUUGUCAUGCCAAUGGCACUGCCCGGUAGCUAAAUGCGGAAGAGAUAAGUGCUGAAAGCAUCUAAGCACGAAACUUGCCCCGAGAUGAGUUCUCCCUGAGACUUAGAGUCUCCUGAAGGAACGUUGAAGACGACGACGUUGAUAGGCCGGGUGUGUAAGCGCAGCGAUGCGUUGAGCUAACCGGUACUAAUGAACCGUGAGGCUUAACCUUACAACGCCGAAG
rnacentral:rRNA from 1 species